GGCAGCGCCCGCUCCGGCCCGAGGUCUCGGUGCCGGUCUCGGCCGGGCGCCGGGACUCAGGCCGCUCUUCUACCGUAAAUCUUCGCAACGCUGGAACUAAUUACGGAGGGGAUGUGUCUCAAUUUGUUCCGCAUUAGCGCCGCGCCGGACCGCGGGCACCGAGCACGGGAAAUUGAUGAGCCGAGCCC
rfam:Gallus gallus isolate RJF #256 breed Red Jungle fowl, inbred line TCD001 chromosome 5, whole genome shotgun sequence.